rnacentral:rRNA from 1 species
GGCGACCCCAGGUCAGGCGGGAUUACCUGUUGAGUUUAAGCAUAUAUAUAAGAGGAGAAAAAGAAACUUACAAGGAUUUCCUUAGUAACAGCGAGUGAACUGGGAAUAGCCCAGCCUUAGAAUCGGGCAGCUUUUUAGUCUGAAUUAUAGUUUGGAGAAGCGUUCUCAUUGGUGGACCGGGCCCAAGUCCCCUGGAAAGGGAAGCCAGAUAGGGUGAGAACCCCAUUAUGCUCGGACCCUGUCGCACCAUGAGGCACUGUCUAUGAGUCAGGUUAUUUGGGAAUGCAGCCCAAAUUGGGCGAUGAAUUCCGUCCAAGGCUAAAUACGGGCGAUAGACCGAUACCGAAUAAGUACCACGAGGGAAAGAUGAAAAGGACUUUGAAAAGAGAGUCAAAGAGUGCUUGAAAUUAUCAAGAGGGAAGUGGAUGGGGGCCGGCAACGCACCCCAGUCGAAUGUGGAAUGGAAACGAGCUGGUCUACUGAUUGACUCGGGGCGUGGACAAAUGUGGAUUGGGGGGCGUCCAAAGCUCGGGCUCUCGAUACACUAGUGGAACACCAUCUCCUAGAUUGUGGCAGGAAGCAUGUGCCUCUGGCAUACUUUGGUAACUACGCGCUACAGACGCUGGCCUAUGGGCUUCCUUUUCAACCCAUCUAGAAAAACAAACCAAGAAGUCCGACAUGUGUGCAAGUCAACGGGAGAGUAAACUCGUAAGGCGUAAGGAAGCUGAUUGGUGGUAUCCCCCCGAAGGAUGCACCACCGACCAACCUUGAUCUUCUAAGAAGGGUUCGAGUGUGAGCAUACCUGUUGGGACCCGAAAUAUAGUGAACUAUGCCUGAGCGGGGUGAAGCCAGAGAAAACUCUGGUGGAGGCCCGCAGCGAUACUGACAUGUAAAUCAUUCAUCUGACUUGGUGUAGGGCCCGCGGCUGCUUUGUCAAGCCGUGCCACAGAAUCAAGAGCUCCUAGUAGGCCAUUUUUAGUAAGCAGAACUAGCAAUGUGGGAUAAAACAAAAGUCGGGUUACGGUGCCAAACUGUGCACUAACCUAGAUCCCACAAAGGGUGUUGGUCGAUUAAGACAGCAGGACGGUGGUGAUAGAAGUCAAAAUCUUCUAAGGAGUGUGUAACAACUCACCUACCGAAUAAACUAGCCCUGAAAAUGGAUGGCGCUUAAGCGCGCGACCUACACCCGCCGUCGGGGAAAGUUCCAGGCCCUAAUGAGUAGGAGGGCGCGGCGGUCGUCAGUGCAGAUAUUGAUGGUAGUUUCAAAUGAGAGCUUUGAAGGCCGAAUAGGGAAAAGGUUCCAUGGGAACGACACUUGCACAUGGGUUAGUCGAUCCUAAGGGUUGGGGAAACCCCGACAGAUAGCACGUUUCAUGCGUGCUCCAAAAGUGAAUCGGGUUAAAAGUCCUGGAUCAGGACGUGGUGGUCCAUGGCAAUAUUAUGAAGUUCAGAGACGUUGGUAGAAGCCUCGGUAAGAGUUAUCUUUUCUAUUUAACAGCCUGCCCACGCUAGAAUCGGCUCAGCCGGAGGUAGGGUCCAGCGGCUGGGAGAGCACCGCACGUCACGUGGUGGUCGGUGCACUACCGGCGGCCCUUGAAAAUCAAGAGGACCAAAUGCCAUCCAUGACCGGUCGUGCUCAUAACAACAUCAAGUCUCCAAGGGAAAAACCUCUGGUCGAUGGAACAAUGUAGGCAAGGGAAUUCGGCAAAAUGGAUCUGUAACUUCUAGAAAAGGAUUGGUACUGAGGGCUGGGCACGGGGGUCCCAGUCCCAAGCCCGUCGGUUGUCGGUGGACUACUCGAGCUACUCCCAUAGCGAGAGAGGGUCGCCAUAUGCCGGUCGGGGGAAGGACUGGGAACGGUUCCUUCGGGGGCCUUUCCCUCGCGUCGAACAGCCAACUCAGAACUGGUACGGACAAGGGGAAUCCGACUGUUUAAUUAAAAGAAAGCAUUGCUAUGGUCCCAACAGAUGUUCAUGCAUUAUGAUUUCUGCAUAGUGCUCUGAAUGUCAACGUGAAGAAAUUCAAUCAAGCGCGGGUAAAUGACAGGAGUAACUAUGACUCUCUUAAGGAAGACAAAUGCCUCGUCAUCUAAUUCGUGACGUACAUGAAUGGAUUAAUGAGAUUCCCACUAUCCUUGUCUACUAUCCCGCAAAACCACAGCCAAGGGAAUGGGCUUGGCAGAAUCAACGGGGAAAGAAGACCCUCUUGAGCUUGAGUCUACUCUGACUUUGUGAAAUGACUUAAGAGGUGUAGUAUAAGUGGGAGCCGAAAGGCAAAAGUGUAAUACCACUACUUUUAACGUUAUUUUACUUAUUCCAUGAAUUGGAAGUAGGGCACUAAUGUUGGGCGUAUUUAUAUGUCUAAGCACCAUAACUUACCCAUGUUUUAGCUAAGUUUUGAGGAUAAAAUACAUAAUUCUUGCACUUUUAGUCUAUUUUUAGUUAAGUGAGCUGACCUAUGUGAUUAGCAUGCUUUUCAAGUACUAAUGAGGAAGAUUUCAGCACUUUGGGGACCUGUGGACAGCAAAGAAAAACUUCACAUAAAAAGGAAAGCAGCUUUUGGACUGAAUGUGAUGUAUGGGAACUUUUUCCCGGGCAAACUCAAUAUUUUUAAAUAGUUAAGGAUGCAGUAGCAAUUUAUUAGAGAAGGAUGUUAUUAAAAGCAAUAUUGCUGAAUUUUUAGGGAUUAUUGCACAUUCUGUAUUAUUUUGAAAACAAGAGAAAGCAGCUUAGCUUGAGGACAGAGAGAGAGAAAACGUGUUUCUCUCUUAAUUUUGCUAGUCACCUUCGUCACCAAGAUCGUUCUAAGUUUUGGUAUGAUGAAUAUUUCUAUGUUGAUUUCUGUUUUAUUCAUGAGUAGCUAAGUUUAU